rnacentral:rRNA from 1 species
UGACCAGCGGAGGGAUCAUUACUGAGUUUACGCUCUACAACCCUUUGUGAACAUACCUAUAACUGUUGCUUCGGCGGGUAGGGUCUCCGCGACCCUCCCGGCCUCCCGCCUCCGGGCGGGUCGGCGCCCGCCGGAGGAUAACCAAACUCUGAUUUAACGACGUUUCUUCUGAGUGGUACAAGCAAAUAAUCAAAACUUUUAACAACGGAUCUCUUGGUUCUGGCAUCGAUGAAGAACGCAGCGAAAUGCGAUAAGUAAUGUGAAUUGCAGAAUUCAGUGAAUCAUCGAAUCUUUGAACGCACAUUGCGCCCGCCAGCAUUCUGGCGGGCAUGCCUGUUCGAGCGUCAUUUCAACCCUCAAGCUCUGCUUGGUGUUGGGGCCCUACAGCCGAUGUAGGCCCUCAAAGGUAGUGGCGGACCCUCCCGGAGCCUCCUUUGCGUAGUAACUUUACGUCUCGCACUGGGAUCCGGAGGGACUCUUGCCGUAAAACCCCCCAAUUUUCCAAAGGUUGACCUCGGAUCAGGUAGGAAUACCCGCUGAACUUAAGCAUAUCAAUAAGCGGAGGAA